rnacentral:rRNA from 1 species
GCUCAGAUUGAACGCUGGCGGCAGGCUUAACACAUGCAAGUCGAGCGGUAGCAGGGAGAAAGCUUGCUUUCUCCGCUGACGAGCGGCGGACGGGUGAGUAAUGUCUGGGGAUCUGCCUGAUGGAGGGGGAUAACUACUGGAAACGGUAGCUAAUACCGCAUAACGUCGCAAGACCAAAGUGGGGGACCUUCGGGCCUCAUGCCAUCAGAUGAACCCAGAUGGGAUUAGCUAGUAGGUGAGGUAAUGGCUCACCUAGGCGACGAUCCCUAGCUGGUCUGAGAGGAUGACCAGCCACACUGGAACUGAGACACGGUCCAGACUCCUACGGGAGGCAGCAGUGGGGAAUAUUGCACAAUGGGCGCAAGCCUGAUGCAGCCAUGCCGCGUGUAUGAAGAAGGCCUUCGGGUUGUAAAGUACUUUCAGUAGGGAGGAAGGUGUGCGUGUUAAUAGCACGUGCAAUUGACGUUACCUACAGAAGAAGCACCGGCAAACUCCGUGC